rnacentral:tRNA from 1 species
GUGGGUGUAGCUCAAUCGGUAGAGCACUGGACUGUGGAUCCGGGGGUUAAGGGUUCGAGCCCCUUCACUCACCCCA